rnacentral:lncRNA from 1 species
AAAAAGAGGAAGAUUGGCAACACAUGUUAGCUCAGGGCCAAUCUUCCUCUAAAAGAAAGAAAGAAAGAAACAAAGAAAGAAAGAAACAAAGAAGAGAAAAGAAAAAGGAAGAACACAGGAAAAAAGUGUCCAGAGAGAAAAAACCUGGUCACAUGGGUAGGACUGAGCCUUCCCCAGAGAACUGGUGGCCACCUCAGCAGCAAUGCUGGCUGCCAAAGACAGAGGAGAAAAUCUUAACAUUUUUGAGCGAGAAUGAUCUUCAUUAAAAUUGUGCAUCUUAGCUCAAAUGGGAAUCAAACUGGAGCAAAGAAUAAAGGCAUUUUUCAGAUAUGCAAAGGCUUAAGAAAUUUAUUUUCCAUGCACCAUUUCUUGAGAAGUUACUUGAUGACAGGCUUUGGGAAAAUAUGGGACUAAGGGAGGAAGGCAGCAGCUGUAGGAAUUGGAGAGUGAGGGCUCCAAUCCAGAAGCCCACUGGGAGGAAUUCCCGGAGUCCCAGGAAGGCAUCAUCUCGGACUCCGCGCUCCCUGUCACACCCCCGUGCAAUCUCUCAGCCCUACUCCACGGAAACCUCCCAGGUCAGCCCUUCUCACCACCUGGCCCACACCUGUCCUUACACCAGGGUCCCGGGGGCUCCCUGCAUCCGCGGUUGCCCCCUACCGUCCAUCCUCCUAACUACACCCAGGGUGGACUUUUAAAACGAGACUGCCCUCGGUCACUCAUUUUUCACUCUGCCUAAUAUUUCCAUUUGCCGUCUGACAUAUUGUGCAUAUACUUUAUUUGCCUCCCUGAUGUGUGAGCAGAGGCUUUAUCUGCUUCAUUCUCCGCCCUGGAAGAGCGCUUGCAGCACGCAGCAGGCAGUUAUUUAACGUAUGUUGAAUGAAUAAAUGUUUCCCCACAAUGACCGCCCAGGUUGAAAGGAAUCUCCUUGUGAGGUCUUUCCAGAUCACUCCCCAACGCUGCCAACAGGACGUUCUGCCAAGCAGGAAGGUUCCAUAUCUGCGCUGUGCAUUAUGGCAGCCACGAGCCGCAGGAAGCUAUCGAGUUCUUGAAAAGAGGCGAGCGCGACCAAGGAACGAAUCGUUCCUUUCAUUUGAUUUCAGCUGAUUUACGGAGCCACCUGUGGCGGGUGGUCACCGUGUUGAACGGUGCAGCUCCUAUUCCAGGACGCUGUUUCACUGACACCGCCGCAUUCAUCAAUGCCCGACAUCACCAGAGUUGCUACUGCUUCCUUGUGGGUGGUGCGUUUCCCCGCAAAGGUCUUGGCUUGGGGAGAGCCGCGCCUCGCCCGGGGAUGAGGAGCAAGGCGGGACACGCGCUCGGCGCUCAGCAGGUAUGGCGGGGGUGCGCACGCGGGGCGCUCGGGAAACGAUGGAUCUCGGGAGCCUAGGGAGAGCUGGAGAGACCCCUCGGAGGGAGAUGCGACGCGGGGGCAGACGGAACGCGGGCGAGGGCCCGCGCGCAGGUACCGGCUCCCGGCCACACU